ACCUGUUCAGUGCAAUGGUAGCUCGCGUUCCUGGUAAGGACGAAACGCGGGUUCGUGUCCCGCCUGAGGUC